rnacentral:rRNA from 1 species
ACAGCAGUCGCCGCGGUAAUACGGAGGGAGCUAGCGUUGUUCGGAAUUACUGGGCGUAAAGCGCACGUAGGCGGUUAUUCAAGUCAGAGGUGAAAGCCCGGGGCUCAACCCCGGAACUGCCUUUGAAACUAGAUGACUGGAAUCUUGGAGAGGUCAGUGGAAUUCCGAGUGUAGAGGUGAAAUUCGUAGAUAUUCGGAAGAACACCAGUGGCGAAGGCGACUGACUGGACAAGUAUUGACGCUGAGGUGCGAAAGCGUGGGGAGCAAACAGGAUUAGAUACCCGCGUAGUCCCUGUCUCUUAUAC